CCCACCAGCUUGCUGCAAUUCGCAGGGAGCUGGGUCGGGGCUCUUACUGGCAUCGCCGAAUCUAUCCGCAACGCUUACCUCGCCGCCAUGUUCAGUGUUCCUGAGGGAGGGCCUGUGCACGUCCAGUUAGUUAGCACGAUUUACCAGAGCAUUCAUCUUGAAGAUGAGUCCUUUUGUUGACGCCGUAGUUGCUCCGUAUUCUUCCUGCAGCAUCACCCACGGCGGCGGUGAGAGUGAGAUCAUUGUCGUUGCUGAUGGAGCACCGUCACCGACAGCACAGCCUCUGAUAGGUGUACGCGAGGCAGUGUCCAGGGCGUCGCAGGACAUCCGGCUAUCCUUCUGCUCCACAUCAUCAGUGGAAGCGAAGAUGAUCACACAGAUGAGAUGGCCAGCCUCUUGUUAUCGAAAGCAGGCGAGCUGGAUAUGGAGCAUCAUACAGGAGGUCAGGGCCCAUCUUCUGCCGUCCACAGAGCUGGAGGUGGACGAUGGCCCGUGGUGGGGUGCUCAAAUACAGGUGGUGGGCUGUUGUAAGCUAGUACAUCAGUUUGCUGUCGGCCAACUGCGCUACAGUGUAUCGGAUUGUCGGACAAUUUGCAGCAAGAUUCCCUGGGUAUGUGCCUACAAUUGACAGCAUGAGCCCUCUGAACAGCCUCAUCAUGGAGACGGUGUCAGGUUUGGAUGAAAAGCUCGCUGAGAAAUCCCGAUCGUUCCCUGACCAGAGCUUAAGGUUCCUAUUCUUGAUCAACAACUCCUACUUCAUAUGGCAGCACCUCUAUCCAAUUUCGGUUCCGGAGGUCAACAAUUUCCUCGAGGUAAAGAUCGACAACUAUGUCCAAACAUAUCUGCAAGUGUCUUGGGAACCGGUGUUGUCAUGCCUGUGCAGUUCUACGCCUCUCUGCUUUGGGAAAAACUACUCCCUUCCCUUGUACCUAAAUUUGAGUCGGAGUUUCAGAAAACCUACAAUGCCCAGAAGUUCUGGAAGGUCCCAGACCCUAAGCUGAGGAGAAGGCUGCGGGUAGCUAUUAUUGAGGAAGUCGUUUCGAGCUUUACGAAAUACUUGGAGUAUAAUGAUAUCAUCCCCUCAAGAAUCACUCCCCAUGAUCUCAUGGACAUGUUGCAAGAGCUAUUCGAAGGGUGAACAAGUACGCAAAGAGCCAAAGAAGGAAUGAACUUGUCACAGGUGCAAUUGUUUAUGUACUAUACGUGUUUAGAUUUUUUUUGCUUGUUGCAUCAAAUGACUUUACAGUGGACAUAUUAACAAACAGCUUGAAUGAACGGCUGCUGGAGGUGUUUGUGCAACCAUAUUACAAACAAACAGCACACCUAGCCAAGUGUGAAAUUAUAACCAAGUAUCUAUACAAGCACACAAAGACACGAGCUGUUUUACAGUGGUUUGGAAAGUACCAUGGUACCACUACGUACUUUUAUCUUUUUAUUUUCUUAGCUAAUUAAUUGAGGAAGAUUAUUUUCAAAGCUUGAUUCAUGAAGAGGUGGUUCUCAAUGCUGGGCGUCAGCUGGGUUCUCCUGUAACUCAGGGGUUUGCCCUUUUAAUAAAGCAUCUGUAGGGGCCUCGGCCCCUCCAGUAUUCUAAAAAAAAAAAGCAUCCUCGAGUUGAGAUUGAGACACAGUGGCCUGGUGAGACAUGGAGCUGGAUCCGAGCUCCAUGUAGGCUACAUUGUUAAAAUUUAAAUUUGUCAGAAUUGAGGCUAGUGCUGCAAAGGCCAAAUUUGUAAAUAGCCUACAACACAUGAAAGAAACAAUCAGGAGGCCGUAUUUAGUUUUCAAAAAAUUUUAAGAUUCCACGUCACAUCGAAUCUUGCGGCACAUGCAUGGUGCAUUAAAUAUACAUGAAAACAAAAACUAGUUGCACAGUUCAUCUGUAAAUCGCGAGACGAAUCUUUUAAGUCUAGUUACUCUAUGAUUGAACAAUGUUUGUUAAAUAAAAAUAAAAGUGCUAUCAGUGUUGAAAUCCAAAAUUUUUGCGAACUGAACAAGGCCUUAGUUCUUUACCUAAAAAGUUUUUGGGUACUAUAGUACUUUCAUUUUUAUUUGAAAAUUAUUGUCCAAUUAUGGACUAAUUAACUAGGCUUAAAAGAUUCGUAUUAUAAAUUACAGACAAACUGUGUAAUUAGUUAUUUAUUUUAUCUAUAUUAAAUACUUCAUGUACGUGCCGCAACAUUCAACGUGGUGGAGAAUUUAAAAAGUUUUUGAAUUCUGGGUGAAACUGAACAAGGCCUUAUAUUCUCAUCAGGCCGUCUGAGAAGUUUGGAUCAAUGGUCCUUAGCUUUGCGCCAUCUACACGGUAUCACAACGCGUCUUCCUGGAAGAACGCUGUUGGGAAUAUAAUGGUCGUCUAUAUUGCCAACGCGUCUUUGGAAAAAGUUUGUGCAUGCUGCCACUGCCAGCUAGCCACAUGGUUUCCAGUAGCCUCGCUAGCUAGCACUUGAGUUCUUCUUCCCCAAACCCGUGUAAGUCAACGGAGAUCAAAUUGCCGGUUGCUAGCAGUCAGCAAUUCAGCGCCCAAGCCGUCGUCGUUCGACGCAAGAAACACCAACAACGACCUCGCUGUGGCUGUGGCUGCACCGCCGCCACUCCUAGUCCUUAGUUUUGAUCCGUCCUCCUCCGCCAACCACAAGCAGACGACCGGCACCGGCUUCAGCUCCAACACAGUUGUUAGCAGCUCCUCAUCAGGUACCUGCGUCCAAAUUUGCAUUACAAGUUUACAAUAACCCUUUUCGCGCCAAAAAAAAAAAGUUUACAACAUCCCAGAUACACACACGUUGCAGGGCCAUCGCCGGCCCACCUUGACAUUGUACCUUCGAGCCCAUUUUACUCCUUGCAGCAUGGUUCGUUCACCAUUCUUGCCAUCCUCUCCUGUUGUCGUAAUCUGAGUAACUUGGCUCUGGAAUUUAGCAUGUUUCUUAUGAUCCCAACAACUAUUGCCUUUUCUGGCAGGGCAGAAUUCACAUGUGUGCAUAACAGGGCAGAACAGAGUAAGAUCGAGAAUGAGGGCAAAAUAAAUACUCAUUUGCAAAAUCAGAACGACCAAAGUUACAGCUUCUACUAUUGCUGCAUAUAUACUGCAACGCUUUUAAAACUGCAUGGGUAACGCUUUCAAAUGCUUUUAAUUUUUUUUGUAAAUAAAGAAGACCAAAUGAAUUUCAUUCACUGCUGCUAUUACAAGGCAGGGGCAGGGUGUACAGAUCAGAUGUCUGCUGUUCCGGACUUUUUCUUAUGUGAAACUGCUGUUCCAGAUACUCGACAUAAAGAAAAAGGUUCAAUUUGGGGAAGGGCUACUAACAAACUUUUUUUUUGAUCAAUUUGGGGGAGAACUACUAACAAACUUGCGGUGCUUCAGAUUUUUAUUACGAAACAGCAUGGAAACAGCAACAUUUUAUUACGAAACACAAGCAUAAUAGUGGACACAAAUGGAAGCAGGAUUAACAAAGGAAUGCUACACAUAUGGCAACUUGCCUUCUAAUCUUCUAUGGUGCACUAGUUGGUCAUCCUUCGAAUAACUCUCCCAGCAUCUUCUCUACCUCCAUGGGAGUGAAUCCUGGGGGUGUGGCAAUCUGGUCAUCCUCCCAGAACUGUGUAAACACUGGAGUAACUUUAUCGACAAUGGCUUUCCUCAGCCUCCUUCUCAUCUCAGGGUCUGGGACCUUCCAGAGCUUUUGGCCGGAGUAAGUCUUCUGAAACUUUGACUCAAACUUUGGUAUAGGAGACGAGUAUGUAGUGAAGCAACGAGGUGUAGCAGAAUCCUGCAAGCAUUUCAACACCGGUUCCCAAGACACAUGGAGAUAACGAUUGAUGUAGUAAUUGAUAUCGUAGGUGAAGGAUACCAUAUUGAAACCCAAACUCUGAAUUGUCUGUAACUCUUGCAACAAGUAGUGGAAAUUUUUUUUUUGAAAAAGACUGGAGGGACCUUGGCCCCUACAGCAAAGAUAUAUUAAAGAAAGGAAUACAGUUAUGUACAAAAACUUUUGAAAGAAGAAGAGCAGACAACUAUCUUAAGAAACAAAAAAGGAAACAAAAAAGAUCAAACUAAGAGCAAAAACUAGCUUGUUUGUAAGGCAUGAGUCCAUUGAUCAAAAUAAAGUGAUAAUCCUUCCUUGAAAUUGUUGAUCAAGAAUAGGAACCUGAGGCUCUCAUCUGGGAAGGACCCCGGGGAUGAAUUUGUGGAAGGCUCUCUCUCUAGUGAAGAGACCAUCUGUGUGAUGAGGUUGGUCACAUGGUUCAAGUUUUUGUUCUCCGACACAAACUCACCGCGGAGAACCGCGGCAUGUAGAAUGCGAUUCACUGACUUGCAAUUGGCCCACAGCACCUUGGUGUAGCUUACUAUGGAGUGUGAGACCUUGUGAAUGUCACAUGAACUGCUAUCGUCUGUCCAGCUCCAAGCCAUGAUAUUAUUCCUCAUCUCAACAGCUGUAUCCCAUAUGGCCUCAUCCAACUUGGUCAGAUCUGCUGACAAGAGUUCUCUCAUCUUGUCGUUAGAACAUUCUUCUUGUACAUAGCAGGACAAUAAUGACAGGACAUGUUGCGAGGCCAUGGAAAGAGCGUCAUGCAUGUCUAUCAGUACCUGGAGCUUCUGAGCCACUACCCCCGGCCAAUGGGUGGUUUUUGCCACAGCAAUGUCAACGAAAGGCAGCAUCUUGAGCACAAUUGCUUGGACAAGCUGUGCAAAUUCAGAAGCAGAUGGUUGCUUGCUCGUUCUUCCUUCAUCUUGGUCCUGCCUCUGUCUGGACCAUCCAUCAAGGCUUGUAAGGAUGGAUCCACGGAUCUUGUGUAGAGCCAGGAUCCAGCUCUGGACAAGAAAUUGGAAGCCGUGCGUGGCAACGACGCUCCCUGAAGAUUCAUGUGUUCCGGGGGCGAGGUGGAUAACCCAGGGGACGUCCAGCUCCAAGAGCCACCUCUCCAAGGCACUGCGAUUAUCGCCACGGAAUUGCACCGCCAGGCCCUUGAGAUGCUCGAGCUUCUCCACCCUGUCUUCCUCGAGCUCCUGAUCUACAUCUAUAUCAAGCUCCUCCUCCGCGUUUUCUUCCAUGGGCGCCGUGGACGGAGCCAUGGAUGCAUGGAUAUCACGAGGCUGCGCUUCUCCGUGUGAAUUGAAUGGGGUGAUGGUGCUGGCGGUGUUGGUUGUACCAAAACUGCUGAUGUAGCCGCCGGUAGGCCGCUGCCAACCUCCUCCGCCGUCGGCGUCGCCCUCGCCACCGGUAGGCCGCAGCCGACCGCCUCUGCCGUCGGCGUCGUCCUCGCUGCUGCCCCUAGAUCUCAAUCUCUUCCAUGCUCUCCGCCAGAUUGAGGCCACCGCCAUUGGAGCACUGCUAGUUGCAAUCUAUCCACAGAUUCAAUUUGUGAUGGACGCACGCACACGGCUGUUACUGGAAUCAAUCAAGCAAUGCAUUCUCGAGAGGCGAUGCUAAUGGAAUUUCACUUUCAUGCUUCAAUGUGUGGAUCCCUGACUUUUUGACCAGCACGCACGCGGUUGUUGAUCGUAGACCACCACUCGGUUUGUCACUUUCUCGUCAUCUAGCUUUGUCAUAAAUUAAAUUUCUUUUUAAGGGUGUUUUUAGACUGCUCUGCUUCACGUUUUUUUAGCUCUGCUUCACGUUUUUUAGCUAAACGGUUUAAGUUCCACGCACUCAGUUCGAGAAAAAAAGGGGUGAAAUUAUGAGAGCACCUAGAGAAGUAUUCCACAAACUCUAAUUUUUUGUUGACGGUCCUUAACAUCAACAUUAUACUUUCAAUUAAUGCACAACAUAAUGGCAAAAAGAUUAUUAUAGCAUAGUUAUAGGGAUUAUUCUAAUAAAUUCUACGAGUUGUGUUGCUCAUUUAUUUUACAGAUUAUUGAUACUUCAUCACAUAAAAAGUACCAUAAAUGAUGAAACAAAGCACACCUUUGUAAAGAGCUCGUCGAGACGAUCAAAACGGACAUAUCACUUGCUAUAUUUGGAGUCCGAACAAGAGAGUCCCCAAUAGUUACGACCAAGAAUCACCAAACAAGAGUUUUAUGGACUAACAUGAUAAUUUCGACAGCUGUUGUUGGCGUCUUUUUUUUCUUUUCUCUGUGUGGCGCGGGUUGGGGGCUCAGUGUCCGGACGCAUUGUUGACGUUGGAUGUCCAGGCGCUAGCAGUACCCAUUAGAAAGUUGUAAUCAGUAAUCGGACUUGGCACUUCGUAGCAUAUGCAUGGACCAAACAAGAAUUGAGGCUAGUGCUGCAAAAGCUAAAUUUGUAAAUAACCUUCAACACAUGAAAGAAACAAUAAGUAGAAAUAGGCUUUGUUUAGUUCCUUUUAAGUUUUUUUUUGGUACCGUAGCACUUUCGUUUUUAUUUGAAAAUUAUUGUCCAAUCAUAGACUAACUAGGCUCAAAAGAUUCGUCUUGUAAAUUAUAGGCAAACUGUGUAAUUAGUUAUUUAUUUUAUCUAUAUUUAAUGCUUUAUGCAUGUGCCGUAAGAUUUGAUGUGAUGAAAAAUCUUAAAAAGCUUUUGGAUGGCCUUGUUUAGUUCCAUUUUUUUUUGUAAAAUGAACACUGUAGCACUUUCGUUUGUAUUUGACAAAUAUUAUCCAAUCAUGGACUAACUAGAUUCAAAAGAUUCGUCUCACAAAUUAUAUACAAACUAUGCAAUUAGUUAUUAUUUAUAUUUAUAUUUAAUACUCUAUGCAUGUGCCGCAAGAUUCAAUGUGAGCAAUUUGAAAAAUUUUGCAAAAUUUUUGGAAACUAAACAAGGCCUAAACAAGGCCUUAUAUUCUCAUCAGGCCGUCUGGGAGAGGUUUGGAUCAUGGUCGUUAGCUUGCCCAUCUACACGGUAUCACAACGCGUCUUCCUGAAAGAACGCUGUUGGGAAUAUAAUGGUCGUCUAUAUUGCCAACGCGUCUUUGGAAAAAGUUUGUGCAUGCUGCCACUGCCAGCUAGCCACAUGGUUUCCAAUAGCCUCGCUAGCACUUGAUGAGUUCUUCCCCAAACCCGUGUAAGUCAACGGAAAUCAAAUUGCCGGUUGCUAGCUUCAGCAAUCAGCGAUUCAGCAUGGAUGGUGGCAGUGGCGGCACAGCCGCUGGUAUGCUGGAUCAUACCUCGGAUUCCCCAUCCAGCAGCAGGCUUCGAUGUCGUGUGUCUCUCUCGGCGCCCAAGCCUGUGUGUCUCUUGGCGCCCAAGCCGUCGUCGUUCGACGCAAGAAACACCAACAACGACCUCGCUCUAGCUAUGGCUGCACCGCCGCCACUCCUUAGUUUUGAUCCGUCCUCUUCCGCCAACCACAAGCAGACGACCGGCACCGGCUUCAGCUCCAACACAGUUGUUAGCAGCUCCUCAUCAGGUACCAUAGUCUCGACCACCAACACAUCUAGAUCUAGCGGCUCUAGCCUGUACUUGUACUUGUUCGAUGACGACGACGACGGUACACGUACCCUCAACAAGCCCCAUGAAGAAACGGAGAAGAAGCGGAUGAACAACAUCAAGAGCCUUGUCCAGGAAUUCUUUGGUGCGUCGUCGUCGUCGUCAGCGAAUUGCACAGCUGACGGUGGGGACAUGAGUGUCCUGGAGAGGUGGUUCACAGAGCUGGGCAUCGACUGGGUGCUCCACAUCUCUGAUGUUGAUGCAUCUAUAGCCGUGAUACGGCCCGACUAUACUUUGGAUCCACGAAGCUGGAUCCGGGCUCUCAACCAAAUCAUGGAAACCAUCCGUCUCACCUCGUCAUUCUUUUCUGGCCGUGGAUUUGUGGGCAUGCCUAGUAUUUGGGAGGAGGAGGAGGAGGAGGAGGAGGAGGAGGAGGAGGACGAAGAAGAAGAAGAAGAAGAAGAAGAAGAAGAAGAAGAAGAAGAAGAAGAAGAAGAAGAAGAAGAAGAAGAAGAGUGGUUUUUCCGAAAAUCGGAAAGAGAGUUAUCGAAUUCCAGAAAAAAACAAAUACAGAAACAAGAAAAGGCAGAGGAGGUUGAGAGCUGCAUUCCAGAUCAGUUUCAGUUUGCACGGUUUAUCCAAGAAACCAUGCUGAGAAUGCUUGCUUUUGUUGAUUUCCUAGUUGCUCUGGAUCCUAAUACCAUUUGUGAAUUUUCUGUUGCCAAUGGCAGUGGGGUGCCAGCACCAGCACUAUACCAGAAGAUCAGUAUCUUGCUGCGUGUGCUCGACGCUCUGUCCAAUGCCUGUUUCGAGGUCGAGGUGCUACUCCUUUCGAUGCCCUCAGAAAUCGAAGAGGUUAAACGGAUUCGGGGUGAGAUAAUCAACCUCUUGUAUGCCAAGGACAAUAAGGCGACUGAGGCCGUAUGGGGCACAAUGGAGGAGAUCUGGGCUCUGAUCAUGGACUCCAUGGAGGAGGACGGCCAAGACUCCGUGAUGACUACGCAGGGAUCGUCGGACAUUCACAAGCUCACUCUGUCUGUAACCGACCACAUCAGGUACCUGUGGGCUAACUACUGGUCAGUGACCUCAGUUGUGUUCUGCCUUGGUAAUGGUAAGCAGCAUGUCACUGAGACUGCUGGGAACACUAUCACUAAUCCUUUAGCCAAUCUGACAACUGAGAUGGUCUCCUGUCUAGAUGAAAAACUUGCCGAAAUGUCCCAAUCCUUCGCAGACCAGGGCAUCAAAUACCUAUUCUUGAUCAACAA
rnacentral:lncRNA from 1 species